AGUGAACGCUGGCGGUAGGCCUAACACAUGCAAGUCGAACGGCAGCACAGGAGAGCUUGCUCUCUGGGUGGCGAGUGGCGGGCGGGUGAGGAAUGCAUCGGAAUCUACUCUUUCGUGGGGGAUAACGUAGGGAAACUUACGCUAAUACCGCAUACGACCUACGGGUGAAAGCCGGGGACCUUCGGGCCUGGCGCGAAUGAAUGAGCCGAUGCCCGAUUAGCUAGUUGGCGGGGUAAGAGCCCACCAAGGCGACGAUCGGUAGCUGGUCUGAGAGGAUGAUCAGCCACACUGGAACUGAGACACGGUCCAGACUCCUACGGGAGGCAGCAGUGGGGAAUAUUGGACAAUGGGCGCAAGCCUGAUCCAGCCAUACCGCGUGGGUGAAGAAGGCCUUCGGGUUGUAAAGCCCUUUUGUUGGGAAAGAAAAGCAGUCGGUUAAUACCCGAUUGUUCUGACGGUACCCAAAGAAUAAGCACCGGCUAACUUCGUGCCAGCAGCCGCCGCAGUAA
rnacentral:rRNA from 1 species